rnacentral:lncRNA from 1 species
GGGAGAGGGAGGGAAGGGAAAUUCUAAGUAUAAAAGAUAAAUCUACAGCUAAGGUUGAAUGGCUGUUACAAUUAAAUUUUUUUAAAACUAGGAGAAACUGACUAAGGAUUUCAAAUGGAAUAGAAACUGUCUUACACUUUAGGGUCUAAAUGAAAGGCAUAUACAUUUAAAAUGUAAAAGAAAGAAAUAUAUCAUAUGACUUUCUUCUUCUUUCUUACUUUUUUGAGACAGGGUCUCACUCUGUCACCUAGGCUGGAAUGCAAUGGCGCCAUCAUGGCUCACUACAGCCUCAACCUCACAGGCUCAAGUGAUCCUCCCACCUCAGCCACCACCACCAAAGAGCUAGGACUACAGCCGCUUGCCGCCACACCCAGCUAAUUUUUUUUAUCUUUUGUAGAAACAGGGUUUCACCAUAUUGCCCAGGCUUGUCUUGAACUCCUGGGAUCAAGCAACCUGCCCGCCUCGGCUUCCCAAAGUGCCAUGAUUACAGUGUGAGCUACUGCACCCGGCCUCAUAUGAUUUUGAAUAAGGCAUUUGCUUUAUGCUUUACAAGGUACUAGUAGUAAAAACUGUUUAGAGUGAUGUACAUAAAGAACAGUUCAGACACAAAUGUAAGACCUGAAGCUAUAAAACUACUAGAAGAAAACAGGUAAACCACUUCAGGACAUUGGGUCUAGGCAAAGAUUUUAUGGCUAAGACCUCAAAAGCACAAACAGCAAAGACAAAAAUAGCCAAAUUGGACUAUAUUAAACUAAAAAGCUCAGCAAAGGAAACAGCAGAGUGAAGAGAUAACCUGUUGUAUGGAAGAAAAUAUUUACAAACUAUUAAUCCAACAAGGGACUAAUGUUGAGAGUAUACAAGGAACUUAAAAGUAAAACAAAAAUAACCCCAUUAAAAGUGGUCAAGCGAUGUGAAUAGACAUUUCUCAGAAGAAGACACAAAUGCCCAAUAAGUAUAUGAAAAAUGUGUAAUAUCACUAAUCAUCAGAAAGAUGCAAAUGAAAACCACAGUAAGGUAUCACCUAUGACAGAGUGGUUAUUACGAAAAUAACAGAUGCUGGUAAGGAUGCAGAAGAAAUUCUUUUAUACUGUCAGUGGGAUUGUAAAUUAAUACAGCCUCUAUGGAAACACAGUAUUUCUCAAAAAACUAAAAGAACUGCCAUAUGAUCUGUCAAUCCCACUAAUGGGUAUUUAUUCAAAGGAAAAGAAAUCAGUUCAAUGCAGCACUAUUCACAGUGGCAAAGAACAGAAUCAACUUACGUGUCCGUCAACAGAUGAAUGGAUAAAGAAAAUGUGUUACCUAUGCACAAUGAAUACUAUUGGCCACAAAAAAGAAUGAAAUCAUUUCCUCUGCAGAAACAUGGAAGCUAGGAGAGAAGACUUGAAAUGUUCCCAGCACUUAGAAAUGAGAAAUAUUCGAGGUGAUGGAUACCCCAGUCAAGUACCUCUUGACUUGCUACUGGUACCUGGAAGAGAUGUAACACCUGACCAUGGGACAUCAAGUGACUGUGUGAAUCAAACUGCCCAUCAUGAAUUGUUGUUAUUUGACUCAUCAAACUGUACAACUGGAUGAACACAGGAGCAGUGCACUACAUAUGGGACUGGAACCAUGAAUGAGCAGGUGACUCAGACUCCUAUAGUACCUGCCUCUACUCCUUCAGCACUUCUCCCUCAACCCACAUAAACUGUCAUCAUAAUGAGUUCCCUCUGACCAGUUAAUGGAAGAGAAAAAAGUAUGGAUGUUAUGGAUAUCCUAACAUAUUUCUGGCCAUUGGACCCCUAGAAACCUGUGGCAAGUCCUGGAAGUUUUUCAAGGUUCAUCUUGCACCUUCUAGCAUGCAUAUGUCGUACCAAAGCAUGUAGAAUGCUGCCUACUUCUGCUCUUCAGUUUCAUUUAAUAUAAUUUCAUUACUCUGAUAAAUCAGUGUGAUGUUCUAUGGAAUAACAAAAGACCAUCAAGGUCCCUUCAUACCAUAUAGAGAACAGGAGAGUUGAUGUAGCCUGAGACAAGACAGUAAGGACUUACUGUUAUCCCUCCUAUUUAAACGUAGUCUGUUUCUGAUUCUCCUUAGAAUGGGGGUGGGGGGACAUUUCCAGAUCAAUAUCAGAUCAGUAUCAUGUCAACAUGGGUAUUAAUUUCUUCCGAAGAAGAUACCACACCUAGAACAGCAACCAUAAUUGGCAUCCCUACCUAAUUAAAGUUUGC